AAUUUUACAUAUAAUCCAGGUCAUGGGCAUGAAAAUUGGUCCAAAAAGUCACGAACUAUGCAUGGACUUGGAUGAGAAACGCAUACAGAAAGCGGAACGAUCUUUGAGUGAGCGCAAAACAGGCCCGCAUCGAUCUGAAAACAAUUCGAAAGACCAAACAAGAGCAGGAGAUAGAUGAAGAAGGCCAAUUGUAUGGCGCAGGCAUCGCAGAUUAGAGGUCAAAAAUUGAGGACUCUAGAUAUCCGCCCAUGGUCCCUCCUUCAAAAAUAGGCGCCAUCGGACAAGUGCGGCACAGCCGCCAUUUUAUACCAAAAAUGUAUGAAAAAAUUCUUAUUUGUACUUCAUUCAUAAUAUUAUAAUGCUUAUUUUACAAA